UGGUUUCAACAUACUUAUUUUUUAAUUGGUCUUGAUAGAGAGAGAGAGGAGAACAUUUCCCAACUUGGGAAUAAAAUGGCACUGGGAUUGGAGUUAUCAGCAUAGCUUUUUUUUUUUUUUUUUUUGAAAGACACAAUUCAAUCCACAACAAUUUAAUCCACACUUUUACAAGUGUCUCUCCCAUUAGGUUGGUACUAAUCACCCCUUUAACAGUGGGUUUUUUCUUACACAAAUAGUACAGGGGACAUAUCAAGGGAGAGAACAUAAGUAAGCAACGAUGACACGUAAAAAACGAACAAACAAACAAAAUCACUGAGGUAGGAUUUAAAGCCACGGUAGUAUGACAAGAGCAGUUGGCAGGGUUUGGAUAAGUCUGCUGAGCUAUUUCAAAUGAUUCAGGAAGUCACUGAAAAAAAUCUCAAGAAUGUGCUUAUGGCUAUGACUGUGAUUCAUACCUGCCAAAGGUCAGUGGUAAUGUUUUGAGUUUAUUGCUAAUGGACAAACCCAGCCUCCUUCUGAGCCUGACUAGAAGAGUGUCAGUAGGAACAAUAACUCCAGGCCAAAGGCAGAAGAUGUCAAGGAGGAGACGUGAUAGUGGGUGGAGGCCUUUGGCUCAAAGCCUGGAUAGGAUACCUGCUAUCUGUCCUGUCAGGGAGAGUCACGACUUGUUGCCCUCAGUUUGGCCUGGGCGUCGGGCAGGAGCAAGAUGGAACUUAAACACAAAACUGUUCUGUCUAGAGGUGCCCAGGUACAAGGCUCCAGCAUUUGGACUGCAAACUCUUGCCUUUUCUAAAUGGAGUAAUUGGCUUUUGUUGCUGCUCCAACAAGUCUUCUAACUUGAUUCAUAAAUAAACAAAAUCAAGGCCUCUCAGUGUGAUCACCAGGACUCCAAUUCACUUAGGCAAAUCACCAAACACAAAAAGGCUCUGAGCUUUUCUCCAGAUGAUGCUAUGCUGUGUGUGGCAGGACUGCCUUUCACAAUGAACGUCUCAACAGCCAUCCAACUGAAAUCACAGAACCUAACACAGCUCACAGUCUCAGUUCUCUUUCCUUUUAAAGGUAUAUGAAAGGGAGUGGCAUAUGUCACUAUAAAUAAUAGAAACACAUGAAUUUGUAAAAAACAUCAAUAAUAAAGUAGCUAAGCUAUUGC